rnacentral:rRNA from 1 species
AUUGAACGCUGGCGGCAGGCCUAACACAUGCAAGUCGAGCGGAUGAAGGGAGCUUGCUCCUGGUUUCAGCGGCGGACGGGUGAGUAAUGCCUAGGAAUCUGCCUGUUAGUGGGGGAUAACGUCCGGACACGGGCGCUAAUACCGCAUACGUCCUGAGGGAGAAAGUGGGGGAUCUUCGGACCUCACGCUAUCAGAUGAGCCUAGGUCGGAUUAGCUAGUUGGUGGGGUAAAGGCCUACCAAGGCGACGAUCCGUAACUGGUCUGAGAGGAUGAUCAGUCACACUGGAACUGAGACACGGUCCAGACUCCUACGGGAGGCAGCAGUGGGGAAUAUUGGACAAUGGGCGAAAGCCUGAUCCAGCCAUGCCGCGUGUGUGAAGAAGGUCUUCGGAUUGUAAAGCACUUUAAGUUGGGAGGAAGAGCAGUAAGUUAAUACCUUGCUGUUUUGACGGUACCAAAAGAAUAAGCACCGGCUAACUUCGUG